AUGGGCCCCUGGCUCCUGGGCUCUGUGGUCCUUUGUCUCCUGGGAGCAGGCCCCCUGGAAGCCCAGGUGACCCARAACCCCAGGUACCUCAUCACCAAGACUGGAAAGACGUUGACGGUGACUUGUUCUCAGAAUAUGAACCAUGACUGUAUGUACUGGUAUCGACAAGACCCAGGAUUGGGUCUCAAGCUGAUCUAUCUUUCAAUUAAUGUUGAAAUYGUUGAUAAGGGAGAUAUCUCCGAUGGAUACGUUGUCUCUCGAAAAGAGAAGGAGGAAUUUCCUCUGACAUUGACGUCAACCAGCAUCAACCAGACCUCCCUGUACCUCUGUGCCAGUAGCUUUGUGUCCAGGACCCAGUACUUCGGGCCAGGCACGCGGCUGCUGGUGCUAGAGGACCUGAAGAAGGUGACCCCACCCAAGGUCACUGUGUUUGAGCCAUCAGAAGCAGAGAUCGACAGGAAAAAAAAGGCCACCCUCGUGUGCCUGGCCACAGACUUCUACCCAGACCACGUGGAGCUGAGCUGGUGGGUGAAUGGAAAGGAGGUGCAAAAUGGGGUCAGCACGGACCCUCAGCCYUCCAGUGCCGCCAAUGCCUCCARAUACUUCCUGAGCAGUCGCCUGAGGGUCUCUGCCACCUUCUGGCUCAACCCUCGCAACCACUUCCGCUGCCAAGUGAAGUUCUAUGGGCUCUCAGAGAAAGACCAGUGGACCGAGGAGAGGCCCAAACCCAUCACCCAGACUGUCAGUGCUGAGGUCUGGGGCCGAGCAGACUGUGGUGUCACCUCGGUGACCUAUCAGCAAGGGGUGCUGUCUGCCACCAUCCUCUAUGAGAUCCUGCUGGGGAAGGCCACUGUGUAUGCUGUGCUGGUCAGCACCCUGGURCUGAUGGCCAUGGUGAAGAAGAAGAAUUGCUGAGGCCAGGUCUGAGCCCGUGUCUUGAGCUGUUCUCCAGCCUCACCUUGAUUCUCCUGUUCCUAAUCCAACCUAUGGACCUAAAGAGUUACUCUGUUCACCUCUCAUCACCUUCCUACUGGGAUAUUCAUCUUUCUCUCUGCUUCUGGGAAGAUUGAGCUUAUAGCCCUGAAUCUGAAACAAUUUUUACCAAUAAAAGUGGG